rnacentral:tRNA from 1 species
GAGGGUAUAGCUCAAGUGGUAGAGCACAUGCUAAGCAUACUCAAGGUCCUGGGUUCAAUCCCCAGUACUUCCU